rnacentral:rRNA from 1 species
GACGAACGCUGGCGGCGUGCUUAACACAUGCAAGUCGAACGGAAAGGCCCUGCUUUUGUGGGGUGCUCGAGUGGCGAACGGGUGAGUAACACGUGAGUAACCUGCCCUUGACUUGGGAUAACUUCAAGAAACUGGGGCUAAUAACGGAUAAGAACUCCUGCUGCCUGGUGGGGGUUGGAAAGUUUCGGCGGUUGGGGAUGGACUCGCGGCUUAUCAGCUUGUUGGUGGGGUAGUGGCUUACCAAGGCUUUGACGGGUAGCCGGCCUGAGAGGGUGACCGGCCACAUUGGGACUGAGAUACGGCCCAGACUCCUACGGGAGGCAGCAGUGGGGAAUAUUGCACAAUGGGCGGAAGCCUGAUGCAGCAACGCCGCGUGCGGGAUGACGGCCUUCGGGUUGUAAACCGCUUUCGCCUGUGACGAAGCGUGAGUGACGGUAAUGGGUAAAGAAGCACCGGCUAACUACGUG